rnacentral:rRNA from 1 species
AAUUGCUAGUAAUGGCAGGUCAGCAUACUGCCGUGAAUACGUUCCCGGGCCUUGUACACACCGCCCGUCACACCAUGAGAGUUGGGAAUACCCGAAGCCUGUGAGCUAACUGUAAGGAGGCAGCAGUCGAAGGUAGAAUCAAUGAUUGGGGUGAAGUCGUAACAAGGUAGC